GACGAACCGUGCGAACGUUGUUCGGAAUCACUGGGCUUAAAGGGUGCGUAGGCGGGCCGCCGCGUCCCGGGGGGAAUCCCACGGCCCCACCCUGGGACGGCCCCGGGUACGGGCGGUCUGGAGGGGAGUAGGGGCAGGCGGAACUGUGCGUGGAGCGGUGAAAUGCGUUGAUAUGCACAGGAACUCCGGUGGCGAAGGCGGCCUGCUGGGCUCUUUCUGACGCUGAGGCACGAAAGCCAGGGGAGCGAACGGG
rnacentral:rRNA from 1 species